rnacentral:rRNA from 1 species
GAUGAACGCUGGCGGCAUGCCUUACACAUGCAAGUCGAACGGCAGCACGGGUGCUUGCACCUGGUGGCGAGUGGCGAACGGGUGAGUAAUAUAUCGGAACGUACCUUAUCGUGGGGGAUAACGCAGCGAAAGCUGUGCUAAUACCGCAUAAGCCCUAAGGGGGAAAGCAGGGGACCGUAAGGCCUUGCGCGAUUAGAGCGGCCGAUACCUGAUUAGCUAGUUGGUGAGGUAAAGGCUCACCAAGGCAACGAUCAGUAGCUGGUCUGAGAGGACGAGCAGCCACACUGGGACGAAGACACGGCCCAGACUCCUACGGGAGGCAGCAGUGGGGAAUUUUGGACAAUGGGGGCAACCCUGAUCCAGCAAUGCCGCGUGAGUGAAGAAGGCCUUCGGGUUGUAAAGCUCUUAUGUCAGGGAAGAAACAGCAGCUCUAAUACAGUAUGCGAAUGACGGUACCUGAAGAAUAAGCACCGGCUAACUACGUGCCAGCAGCCGCCGUAACAC